GAUAAGGAUCCAGACUUCUACUAUGUGGAUAGUCCCAACAAGAACCAGCCUAAGACUCUUAAACCAGAGGCAGUUCUCUUCAGGCAGCCCUACAUGACCUCUGUGCUGGCAGUGAGGGCAGAAGACAUGGAUGGUUUUCUUCAUUGGUACAGGAGAUGGACAGCUCAUUAGGCUUGCUGUGGACAGGAACUAUCACCCUGCUUGUCCCACGGUGCUCUACAGGGCCAGUGACGACCGCCAAGUGUUUCCCAAAAUACAACUGGAUCCAGUGGAUCAGAAACAUG